CCGAGUUUACAACUCCCAAACCCCUGUGAACAUACCAAUUGUUGCCUCGGCGGAUCAGCCCGCUCCCGGUAAAACGGGACGGCCCGCCCGAGGACCCCUAAACUCUGUUUCUAUAUGUAACUUCUGAGUAAAACAUACAAUAAAUCA
rnacentral:misc_RNA from 1 species